UACGAAGGGGGCUAGCGUUGCUCGGAAUCACUGGGCGUAAAGGGUGCGUAGGCGGGUCUUUAAGUCAGGGGUGAAAUCCUGGAGCUCAACUCCAGGACUGCCUUUGAUACUGAGGAUCUUGAGUUCGGGAGAGGUGAGUGGAACUGCGAGUGUAGAGGUGAAAUUCGUAGAUAUUCGCAAGAACACCAGUGGCGAAGGCGGCUCACUGGCCCGAUACUGACGCUGAUGCACGAAAGCGUGGGGGAGCAAACAGG
rnacentral:rRNA from 1 species